GGUACCGUGACCGAGAGGCUUAGGUGCAGGUCUGCAAAACCUGUUACAGCGGUUCGAAUCCGCUCGGUACCU
rnacentral:tRNA from 1 species